AUGCACUUACCUGCAAAGCUCUUGAAGGUGCGAGUAUCGAAGGCCAGAGGGGAGAUUCCAACAUCGAUUACAGGUAUAAUAAGCUGUUGGACAUUGGUGCAAGUUUCUCCUUGGAACUGUUUUGACAGGUCGUGGAAGCAUAGUGCCAUGGCCUUGACGGAAGUAAUGCGAAGGGAUCUUGAAGGUCGGCAGUUCGAUAAUGAUGGUGGUAGCAUGAGGAUACAAGUAAGUCCUCAUUCAUGGGGGCUUGAGAACCAAUGUCGCAUGGAGAUAAAUGAAGAGAUUUUUGAAGAAAAUUGA